rnacentral:rRNA from 1 species
AGCGAACGCUGGCGGUAGGCCUAACACAUGCAAGUCGAACGGCAGCACAGUAAGAGCUUGCUCUUACGGGUGGCGAGUGGCGGACGUGUGAGGAAUAUAUCCUAAUCUACUCUUUCGGGUGGGAUAACGUAGGGAAACUUACGCUAAUACCGCAUACGACCUACGGGUGAAAGCAGGGGAACUUCGCACCUUUCGCGAAUGAAUGAGCCGAUGUCGGAUUAGCUAGUUGGCGGGGUAAAGGCCCACCAAGGCGCGGAUCCGUAGCUGGUCUGAGAGGAUGGUCGGCCACACUAGAACUGGGACACGGACCAGGCUCCUGCGGGAGGGCGCAGUGUGGUAUGUUGGACAACAGGCGCAAGCCUUGUCCAGCCAGACCGCGUGUGUGGAGGAGGCCUUCGGGUUGUAAAGCCGUUUUGUUGGGAAAGAAAAGCAGCAGGUUAAUACCCCGCUGUUCUGACGGUACCCAAAGAAUAAGCACCGGCUAACUUCGUG